rnacentral:lncRNA from 1 species
AGCGUCAAGGGUAUCCUUUGCCAAACUCAGCACGCUUUUCAGACCUCCUCUCCCUAGGCCCUGUGCAGCAGGCCCCCCACCCAUACCCCUGCUGGGCAUGCUCUCCCCACAGCUGUGAUCCCACACAGGAAGCCAUCUCCUCCCUCCCAGGCCACUCCUUUUCAGGCCACUCUUUGCUCAUCUUCCUUGAGCCAGCUUUAAGUGGUGAUGGCCAGGGCUCCAUCCUAAGCCCUUUUCCCUUGGGAACACUAUGGCCUCAUUGCUGUAAACACCCCAUUGCUCUGAUGGCCCACAUCUCUGUCUCCAGCCCCACCUCUCCUGAAAGUCCAAUUCUGCUACCCAGAGGCCUUCCCAGGUAGAGGGCUAAAGGUCCCCAGGGACUGGAGAAUUCAGUGAUCAGCCAGGCUGCAGAUCAAGGUUGAACUUGGAAGAAAACCACACCUGGUUCCUGGCUUGGAGUUGGAGGCACCUUCUGCUCAGGACUUCCAGCCUUCUGAAAUCUUCCCUCCUUCCCUGGAGAGCUUCCAACUCACCCAGCUAGGCCCUCCCAAGUUGUGGAUGCAUUCCCAGAAUUCUGCCAUCAUGUCCCCACUCCCUCCUUCUCUGAAAAAGCCACCCUAGAAAGCGGAAGAUUCAGAUCGGGAAAAGGCAUGGACCAAUAGCAUGUUUCUGGAGUGAAUAAGGGAAAAAAUGAAUAAAGAAAUGCAGAAAAGAUUGAGUCAAUGAA